ACACGUGAGUAACCUGCCCUUGACUCUGGGAUAAGCCUGGGAAACUGGGUCUAAUACCGGAUACGACCAUCUGGCGCAUGUCAUGGUGGUGGAAAGCUUUUGUGGUUUUGGAUGGACUCGCGGCCUAUCAGCUUGUUGGUGGGGUAAUGGCCUACCAAGGCGACGACGGGUAGCCGGCCUGAGAGGGUGACCGGACAAACUGGGACUGAGACACGGCCCAGACUCCUACGGGAGGCAGCAGUGGGGAAUAUUGCACAAUGGGCGAAAGCCUGAUGCAGCGACGCCGCGUGAGGGAUGACGGCCUUCGGGUUGUAAACCUCUUUCAGUAGGGAAGAAGCGUAAGUGACGGUACCUGCAGAAGAAGCGCCGGCUAACUACGUGCCAGCAGCCGCGGUAAUACGUAGGGCGCAAGCGUUAUCCGGAAUUAUUGGGCGUAAAGAGCUCGUAGGCGGUUUGUCGCGUCUGCUGUGAAAGACCGGGGCUCAACUCCGGUUCUGCAGUGGGUACGGGCAGACUAGAGUGCAGUAGGGGAGACUGGAAUUCCUGGUGUAGCGGUGAAAUGCGCAGAUAUCAGGAGGAACACCGAUGGCGAAGGCAGGUCUCUGGGCUGUAACUGACGCUGAGGAGCGAA
rnacentral:rRNA from 1 species